GUUUCCCUCUCUCCCGCCCUUGCAAUCCUCCUGCCUGCCUCUCCUAAUCCUAGUUCCUGAAAUAGCGAAGGAAGGGCAUCUCCCCUUGGUACCGGUGUGGAAGGAGUCACAGUCCUUCUGAAAGCCCUGGGAAACACAGAUCCCUGUGACUCUUACGCCUAGGACUGUCUCUAAGCCAUGUACACGUCUGGAUGCAAACUUGGUUGAUGUAAGUGGUCUGGAGACAGAAUCUUCUAAUGGGAAAGAUACUCUAAAAGGUGCUGGCGAUACUUCAGAAGCUAUGGAUACCCAGGUGGGCUCUGUGGAUGAAGAGAAUGGUCGACUACUGGGAGAGGUGGAGUUGCAGUGUGGAAUAUGUACGAAAUGAUUUACCGCUGAUACCUUCGGAAUAGACACAUCGAUGAAGGUCCUAUGUGACCAUUAUUCUGCGAACAUAUGGAUUCGCUGUCUCCUGCCAUUGUUUUCUCAUCUGCUCUAAGAGAGGGAGUCUACUGGUAUUUGCCCUACGUGAACUAGACAAGACUAUGGAUCUGGAGAUUUCGGCACAAACUUUGCAAAGACUGGGCUGAGACUGUGGCUGGAGCCUCUAAGGAGUUGAAGAUUUUGUUCCUGGAAACCUGGCUUUUUCCCCCGCAAAAGUCUACAGUUAUCAGUUCCAUAACUACUGUGUGCUCCGUCUGUGAUGCACUCCAGACCACCUCUUACUAGGACCUUGUCACUGAAGAAUCACAUGCUGGUUCAGGUGGGGCUGAUUGGACCAAAGGGUUAUACUGAAGCUCCCAACUCCACUAGAAUGAAUGAGGAGGUGCUAGAAAGACAGAAGAAGAGCAAGAUUUUUGUUGUUGUUGUUGUUUGUUUGUUUAUAAUUAAUAUUGGUUAUAAGCUAGCUGAUCUUCAUACAACAGAUUGGCACCUGAACGUGGUUGACUGACUCCACGUAAAACCUGAGAGAACUUCAAAAAUGAUACAGAGUUUAACAAAGCUUCUUUUGUUUGCCUGUGGCUUGCCACCGCUGUUUUAAGAGAGAUUUUCCUGAUUCAGCUGUCGCGGAAAAAAAAAAAAGCCACGCCAUUUUAAAAUGAGGUUUCCGUGCAAAUUCUGGCUAUAGAGCAUUUGUGGUCCCGGAUGUUUGUGUGCCUACUUGGGGUCGGAAACAAAGUACUCUGAGAUCUGCCUGGGCAGGCAAAAGAAUCAGGUCUACUAGGCGUGAACAAUCGGGAGAGCAUGGCGGAUUAUGCCGCCACACAGUGCUCUGUCUGGCAGAUUUGACUGUAGCUCAGAUAAAAACAGUUUAUGUGUUGCAUGCUCAGUCUCCGAGUUAAAGUACUGAGUGUGGCUCCUACCUGGUGGCCCCAGAAUGAGCAAAAAUGGCAUGUCCACCAUUUUGAAAUUGGAGAGAGGUGGAGCCGACAUCCUGAGCAGCUGCAACCUAGCUGCUUAGCAUUUUAAAAGCUCUUCAAGACAGUGGAGAAUUACAGACAAUGCAGUAGGACAGAUUCAGACAUAAAAGACCUCUAACUGGGUCA